rnacentral:misc_RNA from 1 species
UUAACGAUUGUUAUUAACAUAAUUCAGACAGAAGGCAAAAUAAAUACAAAGCGUUUUGAGGGUCCAUUCAUGGGCACCAAGCCAGGGAAUGAGUGCCAUCCUGGCUCAGCUGGAGUAUAUCGGGGCCAGCCCGCUCCAUACCCCAUGGAAGCAACGGGAAAGGUACACAGAGGGUGGGUGUCAGAAUUGUAUCUUAGUACAGAUUCUUCUAAUGAUCCUUCCGCAGGUUCACCUACGGAAA